rnacentral:pre_miRNA from 1 species
CAACAAAGUUGUAUAACCCAUCAAUAUCUAUAACUUUUAUUUUGGUUGUUUCUUCAUCCAACAAAGUGAUGGUAACAUUGUUUACAAAAUUUACAUCUCUUAUAUGGUUUUAUUUAAAUUUUGUGAACAAUGUUACCAUCACUUUGUUGGAUGAAGAAACAACCAAAAUAAAAGUUAUAGAUAUUGAUGGGUUAUACAAUUUUAUUG